GAGUUUGAUCAUGGCUCAGGAUGAACGCUGGCGGCGUGCUUAACACAUGCAAGUCGAACGGAGUUAUCAUUUUUGAAGCGAUUAGCUUGCUAAGAGUGGAAAUGUUGGUAACUUAGUGGCGGACGGGUGAGUAACGCGUGGAGAACCUGCCUUACACAGGGGGAUAACACUUAGAAAUAGGUGCUAAUACCGCAUAAGCGCACAGGACCGCAUGGUCCGGUGUGAAAAACUGAGGUGGUGUAAGAUGGCUCCGCGUCUGAUUAGCUUGUUGGUAGGGUAACGGCCUACCAAGGCGACGAUCAGUAGCCGGCCUGAGAGGGUGAACGGCCACAUUGGGACUGAGACACGGCCCAAACUCCUACGGGAGGCAGCAGUGGGGAAUAUUGGACAAUGGGGGAAACCCUGAUCCAGCGACGCCGCGUGAGUGAAGAAGUAUUUCGGUAUGUAAAGCUCUAUCAGCAGGGAAGAAAAUGACGGUACCUGACUAAGAAGCCCCGGCUAACUACGUGCCAGCAGCCGCGGUAAUACGUAGGGGGCAAGCGUUAUCCGGAUUUACUGGGUGUAAAGGGAGCGUAGACGGCAUUGCAAGUCUGAUGUGAAAGAUUGGGGCUCAACCCCAGGCCUGCAUUGGAAACUGUAAAGCUGGAGUACAGGAGAGGUAAGCGGAAUUCCUAGUGUAGCGGUGAAAUGCGUAGAUAUUAGGAGGAACACCAGUGGCGAAGGCGGCUUACUGGACUGUAACUGACGUUGAGGCUCGAAAGCGUGGGGAGCAAACAGGAUUAGAUACCCUGGUAGUCCACGCCGUAAACGAUGAUUACUAGGUGUCGGUGGGCAUGGGCCCAUCGGUGCCGCAGCCAACGCAAUAAGUAAUCCACCUGGGGAGUACGUUCGCAAGAAUGAAACUCAAAGGAAUUGACGG
rnacentral:rRNA from 1 species